GAUGAACGCUGGCGGCGUGCCUAAUACAUGCAAGUCGAACGCGCUGUGGCAAUUAUUGAGAAGCUUGCUUCAAUUUAAUUGCAAUGCAGCGAGUGGCGAACGGGUGAGUAACACGUGGGAAACCUACCUCUUAGCGGGGGAUAACAUUUGGAAACAGAUGCUAAUACCGCAUAACAACUAGAACCGAAUGGUUCAAGUUUAAAAGAUGGUUCUGCUAUCACUAAGAGAUGGUCCCGCGGUGUAUUAGCUAGAUGGUGAGGUAACGGCUCACCAUGGCGAUGAUACAUAGCCGAGUUGAGAGACUGAUCGGCCACAUUGGAACUGAGACACGGUCCAAACUCCUACGGGAGGCAGCAGUAGGGAAUCUUCCACAAUGGACGAAAGUCUGAUGGAGCAACGCCGCGUGUGUGAUGAAGGGUUUCGGCUCGUAAAACACUGUUAUAAGAGAAGAAUGUCGGUGAGAGUAACUGUUCAUCGAGUGACGGUAUCUUAUCAGAAAGGGACGGCUAAAUACGUGCCAGCCGCCGCAGUAA
rnacentral:rRNA from 1 species